GCAAGGUUGGGGUGUGGGGGAAGUAGGGAAGGGGGAGCACCUGGCCUUCGCACAGGUGAACUCCUGGAACCACGGACCCGGGAUGGGGUGUGUGCAAGGUUGGGGUGUGGGGGUAGUGGGGAAGGGGGAGCACCUGGCCUUCACACAGGUGGACUCCGAAAAAGGACACUCACUGGUUGUCGAGGCAGACCCUGGGGAAGUGGGGAAGGGAGGAUGCCUGAGGGGACACAGGCGGACUACUUGACACGCGGACCUGGGAGAGACGAAAAAGGACACUCACUGGUUGUCGAGGCAGACCCUGGGGAAGUGGGGAAGGGAGGAUGCCUGAGGGGACACAGGCGGACUUACUGGACACGCGGACCUGGGAGAGACGAAAAAGGACACUCACCGGCCGUCGAGGCAGACCCUGGGGAAGUGGGGAAGGGAGGAUGCCUGAGGGGACACAGGCGGACUCCUGGACACGCGGACCUGGGAGAGACGAAAAA